rnacentral:rRNA from 1 species
GACGAACGCUGGCGGCGUGCCUAAUACAUGCAAGUCGAACGCAGUGGGGACGGGUGAGUAACAAGUGGGUAACCUCCCAUCAGAGGGGAUAACACUUGGAAACAGGUGCUAAACCGAUACUGAUGGAUGGACCCGCGGUGCAUUGGCUUGUUGGUGAGGUAACGGCUAACCAAGGCCACGAUGCAUAGACGGCCGGAGAGGGUGAGCGGCCACACUGGGACUGAGACACGGCCCAGACGCCUACGGGAGGCAGCAGUAGGGAAGCUUCGGCAAUGGACGAAAGUCUGACCGAGCAACGCCGCGUGAGUGAAGAAGGUUUUCGGAUCGUAAAACUCUGUUGUUAGAGAGGCGGUAUCUAACGAGAAAGCCACGGCUAACUACGUGCCAGCCGCCGCGGUAAUUC